AACUAACGCUGGCGGCGUGCCUAACACAUGCAAGUCGUACGAGAAAGCCGGCUUCGGCUGGUGAGUAAAGUGGCGCACGGGUGAGUAACGCGUGGAUAAUCUGCCCUUAAGUGUGGAAUAACGUACCGAAAGGUGCGCUAAUACCGCAUAAUGCCUGGCAACACAAGUUGUCCGGCCAAAGAAGGCCUCUGUUUACAAGCUUUCGCUUCAGGAUGAGUCCGCGUACCAUUAGCUUGUUGGUGGGGUAAUGGCCUACCAAGGCUGCGAUGGUUAGCUGGUCUGAGAGGAUGAUCAGCCACACUGGAACUGAGACACGGUCCAGACUCCUACGGGAGCAGCAGUGAGGAAUAUUGGUCAAUGGGCGGAAGCCUGAACCAGCCAUGCCGCGUGCAGGAUGACGGCCUACGGGUUGUAAACUGCUUUUCCCCGGGCGAAUAACCCCUCGCCGAGGGGGAGUGGCCGGUACCGGGGGAACGUAAGGAGUACGGCUAACGUCCGUCGCCACGCAGCCGAC
rnacentral:rRNA from 1 species